rnacentral:rRNA from 1 species
UACGGGGGGGGGCAAGCGUUGUUCGGAAUUACUGGGCGUAAAGGGCUUGUAGGCGGCCAACUAAGUCCGACGUGAAAUCCCCAGGCUUAACCUGGGAACUGCGUCCGAUACUGGAAGGCUUGAAUCCGGGAGAGGGAUGCGGAAUUCCAGGUGUAGCGGUGAAAUGCGUAGAUAUCUGGAGGAACACCGGUGGCGAAGGCGGGUCUCUGGGCCGAUACUGACGCUGAGGAGCGAAAGCGUGGGGAGCGAACGGGAUUAGAACCUCCGAGUCAGUCCAAGACCAUC